rnacentral:rRNA from 1 species
GAUGAACGCUGACAGAAUGCUUAACACAUGCAAGUCGAUGGGGAAGUGGUGCUUGCACCAUGGUAACCAUGGCGGACGGGUGAGUAACGCGUAAGGAACUUACCUGCGGGACCGGGAUAACAGCAGGAAACUGCUGACAAGACCGGAUAAGGUCAUUAAGCUGCAUAGCUUAGUGAUGAAAGGAGACGCCUGCGGAGAGCCUUGCGUCCUAUUAGCUAGUUGGUGGGGUAAUGGCCCACCAAGGCGAAGAUAGGUAGCCGGCCUGAGGGGGUGGACGGCCACAAGGGGACUGAGAUACGGCCCUUACUCCUACGGGAGGCAGCAGUGGGGAAUAUUGGACAAUGGGGGCAACCCUGAUCCAGAAAUUCUGUGUGCACGAAGACGGUUUUCGGAUUGUAAAGUGCUUUCAGCAGGGAAGAAGGAAGUGACGGUACCUGCAGAAGAAGCGACGGCUAAAUACGUG